rnacentral:rRNA from 1 species
AUUGAACGCUAGCGGGAUGCCUUACACAUGCAAGUCGAACGGAGUGGCGAACGGGUGAGUAAUGUAUCGGAACGUGCCCAGUAGCGGGGGAUAACUACGCGAAAGCGUAGCCAAUACCGCAUACUAUUGGAGCGGCCGCUUCCGUAUUAGCUAGUUGGUGGGGCAACGGCUCACCAAGGCGACGAUCCGUAGCUGGUUUGAGAGGACGACCAGCCACACUGGGACUGAGACACGGCCCAGACUCCUACGGUAGGCAGCAGUGGGGAAUUUUUGGCAAGGGGGGAAAGCCUGAUCCAGCCAGCCCGCGUGUGCGAUGAAGGCCUUCGGUUUGUAAAACACUUUUGUCAGGGAAGCGGUACCUACAGAGUAAGCAACGGCUAACUACGUGCCAGCCGCCGCGGUAAUAC